GUUGGCCCCGCUCCAGCCGCGCCCUAGCUGGGUUUGUGGUUAAGCUUCUGUCGCCAUUUUGGCUGUUGUCCCGUCUUACGCAACCGCCGCCCGAGCAGCAGGACGCAUGAGCUCCUUUGUUGUCUUGUGACCUGAAGGAUUUCUGGUUUCUUGGCUUGUCAGCACAACUUCUCCUUGGUGGAGCAUUUUGCCUCACUCCUGCACGUCAGUGCUUUCUUCACGUCCCCACCGACGAGCACAGCUUGCGUCCCAAAAAUUCACACAGGUUACCAUACUAUCUUCUUUGAAAUUCCACCCUGCUGGAAUUUUUACGAAACACAGAUGUGUGCAUUUGUCCACUUAGACACACAUGCCAUUGAUAUCAAUGGGAAUAGUCACAUAGCUUAAGGUAAGCACUUGUUCAAUUUUUUUUUUCUGGAUAAAGGCUUUAGUUUACAAGGCAGCAUUAGAAUAAUUGAUUCACUGUUGCUUCUACCAAAGAAUCCCUAUCUCCCCCAAUGUCAAUAUAUUCCUAUAAUAUUUUUACCAGUUUGGACUUCCAGUGAUAAGUAAUCUUGUUUAUCCUUUACAUAGAAACUCCUCCUCCUUAUCACUUCUUUAGCGAAUUUCCCCAUCCUGCAAACACUGAAGCACGUUUCUCCUCAAUUCUUUUUCUUGAUUGUGUGUAUGAUAUUGGUACCGAAGAGCCCCAAGUCAUGGCCACUGUGCUUGGUGCUGUACAAACAGGGACCAAAAAGAUUUUUUUCUACUGCAAUGUUGAUUUCUAAUUGGAUAGUUUAUUUUCUUAACGUUUUCUCAGUGCUAAGUGUUUUUGUUCAGACAUUUAUAAAAGGUGUCCUUCAUUCUGAUAAGUGUCCUUUUCUCUAACUAAAGCCAAUAAAGAUUUUUUUUAAUAAA